rnacentral:misc_RNA from 1 species
UUAAGCAUGUUUAAUACACG